rnacentral:rRNA from 1 species
CUUACCUGAUUCUUCGGAUGAAGGUCUGGUGCACUGAGUGGCGGACGGGUGAGUGACGCGUGGGUAACCUGCCCUGUACAGGGGGAUAACAGUUGGAAACGGCUGCUAAUACCGCAUAAGCGCACGAGAGGACAUCCUCUUGUGUGAAAAACUCCGGUGGUACAGGAUGGGCCCGCGUCUGAUUAGCUGGUUGGCAGGGUAACGGCCUACCAAGGCGACGAUCAGUAGCCGGUCUGAGAGGAUGAACGGCCACAUUGGAACUGAGACACGGUCCAAACUCCUACGGGAGGCAGCAGUGGGGAAUAUUGCACAAUGGGGGAAACACUGAUGCAGCAACGCCGCGUGAGUGAAGAAGUAUUUCGGUAUGUAAAGCUCUAUCAGCAGGGAAGAUAAUGACGGUACCUGACUAAGAAGCUCCGGCUAAAUACGUGCCAGCAGCCGCGGUAAUACGUAUGGAGCAAGCGUUAUCCGGAUUUACUGGGUGUAAAGGGUGCGUAGGUGGCAGUGCAAGUCAGAUGUGAAAGGUCGGGGCUCAACCCCGGAGCUGCAUUUGAAACUGCAUAGCUGGAGUACAGGAGAGGCAGGCGGAAUUCCUAGUGUAGCGGUGAAAUGCGUAGAUAUUAGGAGGAACACCAGUGGCGAAGGCGGC